rnacentral:SRP_RNA from 1 species
GAUGCCCCUCGUGCGGCGUACAACCUGUGAACUUCCCCAGGGCCGGAAGGCAGCAAGGAUAAGCGGGCUCUGACGGGUGCGCGGGGGGCCUUUCG